rnacentral:rRNA from 1 species
AGUGAACGCUGGCGGUAGGCCUAACACAUGCAAGUCGAACGGCAGCACAGUAAGAGCUUGCUCUUACGGGUGGCGAGUGGCGGACGGGUGAGGAAUACAUCGGAAUCUACUUUUUCGUGGGGAUAACGUAGGGAAACUUACGCUAAUACCGCAUACGACCUACGGGUGAAAGCAGGGGAUUUUUGGACCUUUCGCGAUUGAAUGAGCCGAUGUCGGAUUAGCUAGUUGGCGGGGUAAAGGCCCACCAAGGCGACGAUCCGUAGCUGGUCUGAGAGGAUGAUCAGCCACACUGGAACUGAGACACGGUCCAGACUCCUACGGGAGGCAGCAGUGGGGAAUAUUGGACAAUGGGCGCAAGCCUGAUCCAGCCAUACCGCGUGGGUGAAGAAGGCCUUCGGGUUGUAAAGCCCUUUUGUUGGGAAAGAAAAGCAGCAGGUUAAUACCCCGCUGUUCUGACGGUACCCAAAGAAUAAGCACCGGCUAACUUCGUG